UUUACUGAUUCACGGUUUCUAUUCAUGUCCCUGAUUACAUAUAUAGGGUUUGAAGACAUGGAUGUAUUAUCUAAGAUCUUGUGCUGCAGCUAAUGCAAUCAAAUUCACAGUUGAGACUUCCAUGGUUAAGUUGUCCGACGAUAUACAUGAGGAGGUGGAUAGCAACAAUCGCUUGCUGGAUUGAAUGGGAAAUGAUAUGGACGCAUCAAGAAGCAGUCCCCAGACUGCAAUUAUAAUACACAUCAAUGAUGUCUUAAAAAACAAUUAAGGGGUAAAUUUAGGCAAGAGGAGAAGCUUCUAGAGACGCUGCAAGACGAGAAAGAUUGAAAAACAAAGCAGAAGUUUCAGCACCUAACAAUCGAAAAUAUUAAAAAAGAGAAAGGGGGAGGAGAAAGAGAAAGGGAAAGAUAAUAAGGAAGUUAAAUAAGAACAACGAAACAAGUGAAUAUUUUUGUUUUUGUCUCUACCUUUAAUUUCUGGUAUUCCUCUGUUUGGACAAUGAGAUACUGCAAGAAAAUAUUUUCGCAGAAGAUUUAAUCUCUAAUAAUGCACUAAGUUUCUCCAAGUGUGAAAUUUUUUUGUUGUUUUUUAAUUUUUGCAGUGGUCGAGUUUUUGGGCAACAUUCCAUUGUUGUAGAGAUUACCAAGUUCUUUGUUUAGGAGAAUGGCUGAAGACAUAAAUUUUAAGCACUAUGAGAAAGGAGAUUAUGUCAUUCGUGAAGGUGAAGUUGGAGAGGAAUAUAUUUUGUAUAGGAAGGAGAGGUCUGUU